GAUGAACGCUGGCGGCGUGCCUAAUACAUGCAAGUCGAGCGAACGGACGAGAAGCUUGCUUCUCUGAUUUUAGCGGCGGGCGGGUGAGUAACACGUGUAUAACCUACCUUUAAGACUGGGAUUAAUUCGUGAAAACGGUGCUAAUACCGGCUUAUCUUUUGAACCGCAUGGUUCAAAAGUUAAAGGCGUUCUUGCUUUCACUUAUCGCUGGAUCCGCGCUGCAUUAGCUAGUUGGUAAGGUAACGGCUUACCAAGGCAACGAUGCAUAGCCGACCUGAGAGGGUGAUCGGCCACACUGGAACUGAGACACGGUCCAGACUCCUACGGGAGGCAGCAGUAGGGAAUAUUGCGCAAUGGGCGAAAGCCUGAUGGAGCAACGCCGCGUGAGUGAUGAAGGUCUUCGGAUCGUAAAACUCUUUUAGUAGGGAAGAACAGAUGAGUAAGUAACUCUGCACAUAUUGACGGUACCUAAUCAGAAAGCAACGGCUAACUACGUG
rnacentral:rRNA from 1 species